rnacentral:rRNA from 1 species
AUUGAACGCUGGCGGCAGGCCUAACACAUGCAAGUCGAGCGGAUGAAGGGAGCUUGCUCCUGGAUUCAGCGGCGGACGGGUGAGUAAUGCCUAGGAAUCUGCCUGGUAGUGGGGGAUAACGUCCGGAAACGGGCGCUAAUACCGCAUACGUCCCGAGGGAGAAAGUGGGGGAUCUUCGGACCUCACGCUAUCAGAUGAGCCUAGGUCGGAUUAGCUAGUUGGUGUGGUAAAGGCCUACCAAGGCGACGAUCCGUAACUGGUCUGAGAGGAUGAUCAGUCACACUGGAACUGAGACACGGUCCAGACUCCUACGGGAGGCAGCAGUGGGGAAUAUUGGACAAUGGGCGAAAGCCUGAUCCAGCCAUGCCGCGUGUGUGAAGAAGGUCUUCGGAUUGUAAAGCACUUUAAGUUGGGAGGAAGGGCAGUAAGUUAAUACCUUGCUGUUUUGACGUUACCAACAGAAUAAGCACCGGCUAACUUCGUG